AUCGAACGCUGGCGGCAUUCCUUACACAUGCAAGUCGAACGGCAGCACGGGAGCAAUCCUGGUGGCGAGUGGCGAAGGGGUGAGUAACGCAUCGGAACGUGCCCAGUCGUGGGGGAUAGCCAGGCGAAAGCCGGAUUAAUACCGCAUACGAACCGAGGGUGAACGCGGGGGACGGAAAUGCCUCGCUAGAUUGGCGCGGCGGAUGGAAGAUUAGGUAGUUGGUGGGGUAAAGGCCCACCAAGCCGACGAUCUGUAGCUGGUCUGAGAGGACGACCAGCCACACUGGGACUGAGACACGGCCCAGACUCCUACGGGAGGCAGCAGUGGGGAAUUUUGGACAAUGGGCGCAAGCCUGAUCCAGCCAUGCCGCGUGCGGGAAGAAGGCCUUCGGGUUGUAAACCGCUUUUGUCGGGGAAGAAAUGCUCCGGGAUAAUACCCUGGGGAGAUGACGGUACCCGAAGAAUAAGCACCGGCUAACUACGUGCCAGCCGCCGCCGUAAGAC
rnacentral:rRNA from 1 species